ensembl:miRNA eca-mir-9111 eca-mir-9111
GUAUAUGCAUUUCCAUGUUGCCAGCAGUCCUUUCCUAGGUGCAUCCGUGGCCCCAGUCCCCGGCCCAGCUUGCUGUCCCAUACUCAGGGCUCGGUCGUGGAAUCCGUGCGCCUUACACGAGGGUGGCACCUGG